GGUUGAUCCUGCCAGUAGUCAUAUGCUUGUCUCAAAGAUUAAGCCAUGCAUGUCUAAGUAUAAACAUUUUAUACUGUGAAACUGCGAAUGGCUCAUUAAAUCAGUUAUAGUUUAUUUGAUAGUACCUUACUACUUGGAUAACCGUGGUAAUUCUAGAGCUAAUACAUGCUAAAAUGCCCGACUUCUGGAAGGGCUGUAUUUAUUAGAUAAAAAACCAAUCUGCGCAAGCAGUUUCAGGUGAUUCAUAAUAACUUUUCGAAUCGUAUGACGUAUGUCGACGAUGGUUCAUUCAA
rnacentral:rRNA from 1 species